GACGAACGCUGGCGGCGUGCUUAACACAUGCAAGUCGAGCGGUAAGGCCCCUUCGGGGGUACACGAGCGGCGAACGGGUGAGUAACACGUGGGUGAUCUGCCCUGCACUUCGGGAUAAGCCUGGGAAACUGGGUCUAAUACCGGAUAUGACCUCCUAUCGCAUGGGUUGGUGGUGGAAAGAUUUAUCGGUGCAGGAUGGGCCCGCGGCCUAUCAGCUUGUUGGUGGGGUAAUGGCCUACCAAGGCGACGACGGGUAGCCGACCUGAGAGGGUGACCGGCCACACUGGGACUGAGACACGGCCCAGACUCCUA
rnacentral:rRNA from 1 species